GGUUGAGCAGAUGUCGACUGCGCCAGCCUCGCGCCGCCGUCGGGAGGGGUAAGCGUUUAUUGCAUUCUCCUGGCCGCUUCCUCGUCUCGAAACGCAAAUCGACAACGAGAGCGCAGUGCUCCAGUGACCAUUGCAUUCGUAACCCCCCCCAAUUAGUUGCGUAAUUGCAAAGUUUCGGGGCCCCCGUUUUUGUGCGUCUUAAAACGUGUCGCUUGGAUACAAUCGCUUUCGAGAGCAAACCAUAUGUAUUUUAAGGCGUAUGCUGUUAAUCGAAUGGUGUAAUUGAUUGGCCUUGAACGUUUCUGUCAGUAAUAAAGUGAAAUUCGCAUGCUAAUUGUUUACGAAAACUUCGUAGUGUCAAAUUUAAUGUGUAGGUAGAGGAUCCUCGAAUUGGAACACGAAUUAGUGCAAAUAUUCCACUUACCCGUCUGCAAAUUCCACCUUUCGCUUUAAACUGUAACACGACAUUUGCAUUGCAAUUGUUUAAUCACAGGGGUGAGUCUUUGUUCGAAUAAUUCAUGGAAUGCAACCUGCCUGAUAAUGAAAGGGACCAUUGGACCGCCUUUCUUAUUCCUGUGAUUCGACACAUUUCCAAUCGUAGCCCGACCAGUACUUCAGGAAUAUCGAAGCAUCGAGGGAAAACAGAAAAGUAGUCCGUAGUGUACUCUUACAGCGUGUGUUUAAAGCAUGUGUGUGUCGAAAUAACCUAAAUCGAUUCAUUUUUCUCGUAGGUAUCGUACGAAAUUGUUCGAAUAGUAUAGUAAUUUGAUGGUACAGUAUCUGUAAGACUGUCGCUGUACCUCACAUGCCGACCACUGGAGGUAUUCACCGGGCUUUACAUUUUUUUAAUACAGCACCCUAUAUUUAGUACCUAAAGUAGACAGUUAAUUAGCUUUUUAUGUAAGUAUAGGUAAAUUUUGAAAUGUUGUAUACAGGAUGUUUAUUACAAUAAGUAAUGAAAGGUGGAUGAGGUUCAAGAGAGAUCAUAACGUACAGGUAGGUAAGAAAUUCGUGUGUCAAUCAGCCAUAGAUCCGUUCAGUAUUGAAUUGUAUCGGUUUAAUAAUAAAAGACUUGCAAGCAACAUAUGAUUUUUGUCUUGAUUGUAGUUUAAUAAAUUAGCAUGUGAGUACCUA